ACACUAGACAUCCACAAGUUUCUUAAAGGAAAAAGAAACCCUCCCUCCUGCCUUGCCAGUAUACACCAAGGUAUGCAUCCACUAGUCUCUUUUUCUUUGUGACUCUCAGCUGUUUCGGGUUGGUCGGGAUGCGGUCGGCGUGAAUCCGCGGAGUCGGGAAAGCCGGGCCAAAAAAAGAAAAGAAACCCCUUUCUUCAUGUCUCCGCCCAGCUGCAUACCAUCAUCUCUCCCACAGGAUGCGGAUUCAAAAAGAAAACUACAACAAAAUAGUGAGCAAACGUGAAGAGCGUCAGUGAGAAAAAGGAUCUUUUCGGUGUGUUUUGUUCGUUUGGCUUCUUGUUUCAUAACCGCCCCUCCUCGUGAGAGUUCCCUCUGUUGCUUUUUUAUUCUGCGGCUGUUGCUCCUUUUCCUAUUCUCUCAGCUGCUGAGAGACAAAAAUAAGCCUUGGCGUUCCCCGGCUGCAUCAUGUUGUGUGUCUGUACGUUUUUUCACAGGAACUGUAAACUUGCCGGAACAAGAAAAAACAAAAGAAAAAAGCUGGUAAAACAAAACAACGCAACUGGCAAACAUUUGACGAAAAGAAAUACUGAUUUUUUGGCUUAAGGUUGAACUGCGUGAUAAGACAUACAGCUUCUUUCUUUUGCUAUUGAAAUAGCUAAAGCAGCUUGCCGAAAGCUCUAAUGGAUAUUGGCUACUUUCCUUCAUAAACGACCAGCUGAUGAUAUUUCUCUUGGUAUUGUCAGUUGCCAUCAUGUGCGUUCCUUAAAGACUAUUCGUGUGCAACGCUAGCGAUCCAUGUUCAACCCUCAGAAAAAUUUGGUUCCAGAAAUGCCUAAAGUGUUGACGAACACGGACAUAGACGAUCUUUAACGAAUUACAAAAUGGAGAAUUAGAACAGAGUGGAAUUUUGUUGUGUGCGAUGCUCACAUCAUGCACAUUGCAUUAUCUUCUGUCGCCAGCUGAAAUCCAGGUGAGAGGUAUAAGACGGAUGUUGGCCAACUUCUUGAGUAAUUUGUGUACAUACACCCAACGCGGCGGCCGUUUAGAAACUCGAACACAAUUGGCUGUGAUGGAAACUCAUUGUACCAGUCUAGACCAGGUAGGUAACCAAUCAACGUGGACACGUUAACAUCAAUCAGCCGAAAUCAACGCCCAGUCGAAAGUUCAAUAAAUACCGAUUGGAUCGGUACCACCAUCUUGAUUGCUGAACUAAUUGUGCUUAGCUUCAAUAAUAAUUAUUGAAUUAAACGUUUAUAAACUCCA